rnacentral:rRNA from 1 species
UGCUGCAGCUAACGCAUUAAGCACUCCGCCUGGGGAGUACGACCGCAAGGUUGAAACUCAAAGGAAUUGACGGGGGCCCGCACAAGCGGUGGAGCAUGUGGUUUAAUUCGAAGCAACGCGAAGAACCUUACCAGGUCUUGACAUCCUUUGACCACUCUAGAGAUAGAGCUUCCCCUUCGGGGGCAAAGUGACAGGUGGUGCAUGGUUGUCGUCAGCUCGUGUCGUGAGAUGUUGGGUUAAGUCCCGCAACGAGCGCAACCCUUAUUGUUAGUUGCCAUCAUUCAGUUGGGCACUCUAGCAAGACUGCCGGUGACAAACCGGAGGAAGGUGGGGAUGACGUCAAAUCAUCAUGCCCCUUAUGACCUGGGCUACACACGUGCUACUAUGGGAAGUACAACGAGUUGCGAAGUCGCGAGGCUAAGCUAAUCUCUUAAAGCUUCNCUCAGUUCGGAUUGCAGGCUGCAACNCGCCUGCAUGAAGCCG